rnacentral:rRNA from 1 species
CCCUUAGAUGUUCUGGGCCGCACGCGCGCUACACUGAUGCAUUCAACGAGUUUCUUCCUGGUCCGAGAGGAAUGGGUAACCUUUUGAAAGUGCAUCGUGAUAGGGAUAGACUAUUGCAAUUAUUGGUCUUCAACGAGGAAUUCCUAGUAGACGUAGUUCAUCAGACUGCAUCGAUUACGUCCCUGCCCUUUGUACACACCGCCCGUCGCUCCUACCGAUUGAAUGCUCAGGUGAGCCAUUCGGACUUUCAUCAUGCUGGUUUCCAGUUUUGAUGAAGGUAAGUCUUGCGAACCUUAUCAUUUAGAGGAAGGAGAAGUCGUAACA